AGCGAACGCUGGCGGCAGGCCUAACACAUGCAAGUCGAACGAACCCUUCGGGGUUAGUGGCGGACGGGUGAGUAACACGUGGGAACGUGCCUUUAGGUUCGGAAUAACUCAGGGAAACUUGUGCUAAUACCGAAUGUGCCCUUCGGGGGAAAGAUUUAUCGCCUUUAGAGCGGCCCGCGUCUGAUUAGCUAGUUGGUGAGGUAAUGGCUCACCAAGGAUACGAUCAGUAGCUGGUCUGAGAGGAUGACCAGCCACAUUGGGACUGAGACACGGCCCAAACUCCUACGGGAGGCAGCAGUGGGGAAUCUUGCGAAAGGGGCGAAAGCCUGACGCAGCCAUGCCGCGUGGAUGAUGAAGGUCUUAGGAUUGUAAAAUCCUUUCACCGGUGAAGAUAAUGACUGUAGCCGGAGAAGAAGCCCCGGCUAACUUCGUGCCAGCAGCCGCAGUAAGAC
rnacentral:rRNA from 1 species